AUCCGGAUGAGCUUAAGUUUAUCUGUAUGUUCUUUCCCUAACUCUCUCUCUCAACAUGUGUGUAUUGUUAAUGUAAUUUAAUACAUUGAAGAUUUAUUAAAUUUUAUGCUAUUCAUGCAUUAAUUGAUGUUGAUUUUGCAAACCUAACGCCACUGCUUAGGUGCAAAUUACUGAAAUGUCCGUAAAUUAGAAAUUGGCGUGUAUGUUUGUCAAGAAGGGUUAUCAUCAAGCUGCGUGCUUCUUCCAAUUGAAUUGAAUUCAAUCGAUGAGAAUUAGCUUGGAUUGUAGAGAGUUUCACCAUGCUAGAAACAACGAUAUAUUAGGCAAAAAUAUAGGGGGUGAUGUGGAUUUUUUGAAUUUCCGGACGAUAUUGGAACAGAAAUUAGUUGCUACAAAAGGAGGCAAUUUUGAUUCUCCUUUUGGUUGUAGCAUUCAUAGCUUUUUUGCGUUCCUAGUUAAUCUUCAUAGUUCAUACAUCCAAAUGCAUUCUUUCCGUGAUUUGUUCAUGGGUGCCAUGUAAUGUGUUCUUUUUCUACCUCUUGGGAA
rnacentral:misc_RNA from 1 species